rnacentral:misc_RNA from 1 species
AAUGCGAUAAGUAAUGUGCAUUGCAGAAUUCAGUGAAUCAUCGAAUCUUUGAACGCACAUUGCGCCCGCCAGUAUUCUGGCGGGCAUGCCUGUUCGAGCGUCAUUUCAACCAUCAAGCCCCCGGCUUGUGUUGGGGACCUGCGGCUGCCCGCAGGCCCUGAAAAACAGUGGCGGGCUCGCUGUCACACCGAGCGUAGUAGCAUACAUUCUCGCUCAGGGCGUGCUGCGGGUUCCGGCCGUUAAACGACCUUCAUAACCCAAGGUUGACCUCGGAUCAGGUAGGAAGACCCGCUGAACUUAAGC